UGGAUUUUGAACGUUUCGGUG
rnacentral:miRNA from 1 species